GGCAGUCCAUAUUUCGUGGGUGUGAUUCUAUUCUAAAAUUCUACCAUCGGGCUGCUCCAGUCCGUACCGGAUGAUGAUCCAACGCUGAUCCAGUUCCUUGCCCUGCAGUACGCAUUAUUUAGCACCUGCUUCGUGGAGAUCCUUGGGGGUGUGUUCUUCUUGAUUACAGCGAUAUACAUCGAUCAGGAUAGGGCACGGGUAGAGGCUGUUGUAUUAGAAGUAACAUUACGAAUCGAAGAAUGUUCGAAGGUGGUCGCGGUUGACGAGAAGUCCAAUUCAAGCACUUUGUACGUCAACUUUCAACUUCAACGUUCAACUUUCAACAUUCAGACAGAUAUUACAGCGCCGACUAGAUCAUUUCCACUCUCCGUACUUUAUAUUGCAACGGCGUGUUUAGUGUUUAGCGUGAAUGUGCAA